GUUUGGUGUCAUAUUGUGGGGGAUUAGGUUUGAGUGUCAGCCUGUGAUCCCUAGUUGAUUUGAGAGAAGCAUCAACCACACGGGGUAUGAAAACGACCCCGCCCCUGGCAGCAGUGGGGAAUUUUGGGCAAUGUGCGAAAGCAUGACCCAGCGAAUUAGCGUAGGGGAUGAAGGCUACAGCAGCUGUAAACCCAGCCCGCAUACUAAAACGAUGAUAUUAUGUGUGAAAAGAAGUCAUGGCUAAUACAUGUGCCAGCAGCCGCGGUAAUACAUGAGUGACUAGCGUUAUUCGCCGUGCUUGGGCGUAUAGGAUGCGUAGGCGGUUAUAGUUUUGUUAACUACUAGAUCCAUUGGUGAAAUUUUAACGAUAACUAUAUACUAGAGUUGGCAGGAAGUUAUUCAAUUCCGUUAAGAAGCGAUGAAAUGCUACUAUUUACCGGGGUUGGCCUAUAUUUGAAAAAAAAUAGACUACUGCCACUGACGCUGAGGCAUGAAAGU
rnacentral:rRNA from 1 species